rnacentral:rRNA from 1 species
AGAGUUUGAUCCUGGCUCAGGAUGAACGCUAGCGAUAGGCUUAACACAUGCAAGUCGAGGGGCAGCGCGAGGUAGCAAUACUUUGGCGGCGACCGGCGCACGGGUGCGUAACACGUAUGUAACUUACCUCUUACAAUCGGAUAACACGGUGAAAGUCGUGCUAAUACGGUAUAGUUUCGCAAGCUCGCAUGGGCAUGCGAAUAAAGAUUCAUCGGUAAGAGAUAGACAUGCGGUCCAUUAGAUAGUUGGUGAGGUAACGGCUCACCAAGUCGACGAUGGAUAGGGGGACUGAGAGGUUGACCCCCCACACUGGUACUGAGACACGGACCAGACUCCUACGGGAGGCAGCAGUGAGGAAUAUUGGUCAAUGGGCGAGAGCCUGAACCAGCCAAGUCGCGUGAAGGAAGACGGUUCAUAAGGAUUGUAAACUUCUUUUGCAGAGGAGUAACGAUAGGCACGUGUGCCUAUGUGAACGUACUCUGCGAAUAAGUAUCGGCUAACUCCGUGCCAGCAGCCGCGGUAAUACGGAGGAUACGAGCGUUAUCCGGAAUUAUUGGGUUUAAAGGGUGCGUAGGUGGCUAUUUAAGUCAGGGGUGAAAAGCAUGAGCUCAACUCAUGUCUUGCCUUUGAAACUGGACAGCUAGAGAAAAGACGAGGUAUGUGGAAUGUGUGGUGUAGCGGUGAAAUGCAUAGAUAUCACACAGAACUCCGAUUGCGCAGGCAGCGUACCAGACUUCUUCUGACACUGAAGCACGAAAGCGUGGGGAUCAAACAGGAUUAGAUACCCUGGUAGUCCACGCAGUAAACGAUGAAUACUAGUUUUUUGCGAUAUACGGUAAGAGACUAAGCGAAAGCGAUAAGUAUUCCACCUGGGGAGUACGCCGGCAACGGUGAAACUCAAAGGAAUUGACGGGGGCCCGCACAAGCGGAGGAACAUGUGGUUUAAUUCGAUGAUAUGUCGUCAGCUCGUGCCGUGAGGUGUUUGCUUAAGUGCAAUAACGAGCGCAACCCGCGUUGAUAGUUACUAACAGGUUAAGCUGAGGACUCUAUCGAGACAGCCGUCGUAAGACGAGAGGAAGGUGCGGAUGACGUCAAAUCAGCACGGCCCUUACAUCCGGGGCGACACACGUGUUACAAUGGCAGGGACAAAAGGAAGCGACAUAGCGAUAUGAAGCAGAUCCCAAAACCCUGCCCCAGUUCGGAUCGGAGUCUGCAACUCGACUCCGUGAAGCCGGAUUCGCUAGUAAUCGCGCAUCAGCCAUGGCGCGGUGAAUACGUUCCCGGGCCUUGUAC